rnacentral:rRNA from 1 species
AUUGAACGCUGGCGGCAGGCCUAACACAUGCAAGUCGAACGGUAACAGGAAGAAGCUUGCUUCUUUGCUGACGAGUGGCGGACGGGUGAGUAAUGUCUGGGAAACUGCCUGAUGGAGGGGGAUAACUACUGGAAACGGUAGCUAAUACCGCAUAACGUCGCAAGACCAAAGAGGGGGACCUUCGGGCCUCUUGCCAUCGGAUGUGCCCAGAUGGGAUUAGCUAGUAGGUGGGGUAACGGCUCACCUAGGCGACGAUCCCUAGCUGGUCUGAGAGGAUGACCAGCCACACUGGAACUGAGACACGGUCCAGACUCCUACGGGAGGCAGCAGUGGGGAAUAUUGCACAAUGGGCGAAAAGCCUGAUGCAGCGACGCCGCGUGAAGGAUGAAGUAUUCGGUAUGUAAACUCUAUCAGCAGGGAAGAAAUGACGGUACCUGACUAAGAAGCCCC